rnacentral:rRNA from 1 species
AGCGAACGCUGGCGGCAGGCCUAACACAUGCAAGUCGAACGAAACCUUCGGGUUUAGUGGCGGACGGGUGAGUAACACGUGGGAACGUGCCCUUUGGUUCGGAACAACUCAGGGAAACUUGAGCUAAUACCGGAUGUGCCCUUCGGGGGAAAGAUUUAUCGCCUUUAGAGCGGCCCGCGUCUGAUUAGCUAGUUGGUGAGGUAAAGGCUCACCAAGGCUACGAUCAGUAGCUGGUCUGAGAGGAUGACCAGCCACAUUGGGACUGAGACACGGCCCAAACUCCUACGGGAGGCAGCAGUGGGGAAUCUUGCGCAAUGGGCGAAAGCCUGACGCAGCCAUGCCGCGUGGAUGAUGAAGGUCUUAGGAUUGUAAAAUCCUUUCACCGGUGAAGAUAAUGACUGUAGCCGGAGAAGAAGCCCCGGCUAACUUCGUGCCAGCCGCCGCCGUAAGAC